rnacentral:rRNA from 1 species
UUUUUUAGUGUUAUUAAUGGGUUUAAUUAUAUUUGUUAAUAAAAUAAAAAAAUUUUGGUUGGAUUAACGGUUAAUAGGAAAUAAUAUGUUUUAAUUAUAGUUUAUUAUUAUUGAGAAAGGGAUACUUUAAAAGUUAAGAAGAAGGUUAAUUUUGUACCUUGUGUAUCAGGGUUUAUUAAUUAGUGUCAAAGUAAUUUGGGUUUCUCGAAUUAAUAAGAGUUAAAUUUUUAUAGAUUUUAUUGUGAAAUAAAUAUUUAAAAUAUAAAUUUGGAAGUAAAAUGUUAUUCGGGUUUUAAUAUAUCUGGUUUUUAAAGAAAAGAAUUUAAUUAGAUUAAUAGAAAAUUAUAAUUUUUUGUCUUUAGUUUUAUAUUUUUUGUUGAUUAUAGAUUUGGGGAUGAGCUUAAAUUUAGAAAUUUAAAAUUUUAUGGGGGUAAAAUUUAUUUUUAGGAUUAGUAUUGUUCAUAAAUUGAAAGAAUGUUAUAAUUUAUAGAUUUUUAUUUAAGAUUUUUAUAUAAUUUAAGUUUUUUAUUUAAAAAAUUUAUUUAACUGGGGGGUUAAUUAUAUAAUGAUAAAAUUAGUAUAUAAAUUAUAAUAUUUUUAGUUAGGGUUUAAUUUAAUAAAAGGAAUUAGGCAAACAAUUUUUCACCUGUUUAUUAAAAACAUGUUUUUUUGAUUAAUGAUUUAAGGUUGGCCCUGCCCACUGAUGAUUUAAAUGGCCGCAGUAUAUUGACUGUGCAAAGGUAGCAUAAUCAUUAGUUUUUUAAUUGGGAGCUGGAAUGAAGGGGUUGAUGAAAAAAUGGCUGUCUCUUAUUUAGUUAAUAGAAUUUAAUUUUUAAGUAAGAAAGCUUAAAUGUGUUUAAAAGACGAUAAGACCCUAUAGAGUUUUAUAUUUAAAGGUAAAUUAUUAAAUUGGAUUUAAGAUUAAUAGUUUUAUUUUUAUUAUUUUGUUGGGGUGACAUUAAAAUUAAAUAAAUUUUUAAUUUAGGAGACACGAAUUGGUGGAUUUUUGAUCCAUUUAUAAUGAUUAUAAGAUUAAAUUACCUUAGGGAUAACAGCGUAAUUUUUUUUGAGAGUUCAAAUCGAAAAUAAAGUUUGCGACCUCGAUGUUGGAUUAAAAUUUAUUUUUGGAGCAGAAGUUAGAAAAUUAGGUCUGUUCGACCUUUAGAAUUUUACAUGAUCUGAGUUUAGACCGGUGUGAGCCAGGUUGGUUUCUAUCUUUAAUUUACAUUUGUGUUUUAGUACGAAAGGAUCAAAUAUUAAAUUAAUAAUUUA